rnacentral:rRNA from 1 species
AUGAACGCUGGCGGCGUGUCUAAGGCAUGCAAGUCGAACGAGUACGGGGAGCAAUCCUCGUGCUAGUGGCAAACGGGAGCGUAACACAUUGGUAACCUACCUCGGAGACGCGACUAACCCCGCGAAAGCGGGACUAAUGCGCGAUACGGAUGCGGGGACGCAAGUCAUUCGCAUUGAAAGUCGCAAGACACUUCGAGAGGGGCCUAUGGUCUAUCAGCUAGUUGGUAAGGUAAUGGCUUACCAAGGCUAUGACGGAUAGCAGGCGUGAGAGCGCGACCUGCCUCAGUGGGACUGAGACACUGCCCACACUCCUACGGGAGGCUGCAGUCAAGAAUAUUCCUCAAUGGACGAAAGUCUGAAGGAGCGACGCCGCGUGCAGGAUGAAGCCCUUCGGGGUGUAAACUGCUUUUCCCAGGGACGAAUUUCGAUGACGGUACCUGGGGAAUAAGAGGUUGCUAACUCUGU